AUACUUACCUGACAGAAGUUGCCAUGCCUGCCAGUACUGCUUUUUUAAAUUGUUUCAUCCAUUGCAUUAUCUAGAAGUGUUGACUGUGCCAUUUCCUCAAAUGUGGCAAAGUUGGCUGAAUAAUUUGUGGAAGUAGGAAAGUGUGUUGGAUCUCUCCCCUA
rnacentral:snRNA from 1 species